AUACGUAGGUGGCGAGCGUUGUCCGGAAUUAUUGGGCGUAAAGAGCAUGUAGGCGGUUUUUUAAGUCUGGAGUGAAAAUGCGGGGCUCAACCCCGUAUGGCUCUGGAUACUGGAAGACUUGAGUGCAGGAGAGGAAAGGGGAAUUCCCAGUGUAGCGGUGAAAUGCGUAGAUAUUGGGAGGAACACCAGUGGCGAAGGCGCCUUUCUGGACUGUGUCUGACGCUGAGAUGCGAAAGCCAGGGUAGC
rnacentral:rRNA from 1 species